AGGAGGUCGGGGAGCAGACCUGUGGAGCUGUGGAGGUGACGGCUGUCUGAGACGGAGCGUCUGCCUCUGCUUUUCAGGCCUGUUUCUGCUGACUGCUGCAGGUGAGCUGAUGUUCCUACACCUGUCUGUCCUCAUCAUGACCUCUGACCUUUGGUGACCUUUAGUGACCUCUGUCCUGUUGCAGCUCCUCCUCCCUGUGAGUCUGUGCUGAGGCUCUUCUGCCAUCUAGUGGUCUUCUGUCCGUACUGCAUCUCCACUGGUCUGCUGCUGUCCAUCUCUUGGAGCAGAAAACAACCAAACAAACCGUCCGUCUCCAUGGAGAUGAGCCAGCGUGAUGGAGGAGGUCAGGGACUGGUUGAAGAUGAUGAUGAUGUCACUGCUGAUGUCACCACUGAGCAUGCCUUCUGAGCUGCAGACUG
ensembl:lncRNA